rnacentral:tRNA from 1 species
GAGGAUGUAGCUCAGGUGGUAGAGCGCAUGCUUAGCAAGCAUGCUAAGGUCCUGGGUUCAAUCCCCAGCACCUUCU